UACGAAGGGGGCUAGCGUUGUUCGGAAUUACUGGGCGUAAAGCGCGCGCAGGCGGUUCUUCAAGUCAGAGGUGAAAGCCCAGAGCUCAACUCUGGAAUGGCCUUUGAGACUAGAGAACUAGGGUACGGGAGAGGUGAGUGGAAUUCCGAGUGUAGAGGUGAAAUUCGUAGAUAUUCGGAAGAACACCAGUGGCGAAGGCGGCUCACUGGCCCGUUACCGACGCUCAGGCGCGACAGCGUGGGGAGCAACAGG
rnacentral:rRNA from 1 species